GAUGAACGCUAGCUACAGGCUUAACACAUGCAAGUCGAGGGGAAACGGCAUUGAGUGCUUGCACUCUUUGGAUGUCGACCGGCGCACGGGUGAGUAACGCGUAUCCAACCUUCCCAUUACUGUGGGAUAACCUGCCGAAAGGCAGACUAAUACCGCAUAGUCUUCGAUGACGGCAUCAGAUUUGAAGUAAAGAUUUAUCGGUAAUGGAUGGGGAUGCGUCUGAUUAGCUUGUUGGCGGGGUAACGGCCCACCAAGGCAACGAUCAGUAGGGGUUCUGAGAGGAAGGUCCCCCACAUUGGAACUGAGACACGGUCCAAACUCCUACGGGAGGCAGCAGUGAGGAAUAUUGGUCAAUGGACGGAAGUCUGAACCAGCCAAGUAGCGUGCAGGAUGACGGCCCUAUGGGUUGUAAACUGCUUUUGUAUGGGGAUAAAGUUAGGGACGUGUCCCUAUUUGCAGGUACCAUACGAAUAAGGACCGGCUAAUUCCGUGCCAGCAGCCGCGGUAAUACGGAAGGUCCAGGCGUUACCCGGAUUUAUUGGGUUUAAAGGGAGCGUAGGCUGGAGAUUAAGUGUGUUGUGAAAUGUAGACGCUCAACGUCUGAAUUGCAGCGCAUACUGGUUUCCUUGAGUACGCACAACGUUGGCGGAAUUCGUCGUGUAGCGGUGAAAUGCUUAGAUAUGACGAAGAACUCCGAUUGCGAAGGCAGCUGACGGGAGCGCAACUGACGCUUAAGCUCGAAGGUGCGGGUAUCAAACAGG
rnacentral:rRNA from 1 species